UACAGAGGGUGCGAGCGUUAAUCGGAUUUACUGGGCGUAAAGCGUGUGUAGGUGGCUUCCUAAGUCGAUUGUGAAAUCCCUGGGCUCAACCUAGGAAGUGCAUUCGAAACUUCUGAGCUUGAGUAUCGGAGAGGAAGGCGGAAUUCUCGGUGUAGAGGUGAAAUUCGUAGAUAUCGAGAGGAACACCGGUGGCGAAGGCGGCCUUCUGGACGAUUACUGACGCUGAGACGCGAAAGCGUGGGGAGCAAACAGG
rnacentral:rRNA from 1 species